GAUGAACGCUAGCGGCAGGCUUAAUACAUGCAAGUCGAGGGGCAGCAGGACGGUAGCAAUACCGUUGCUGGCGACCGGCAAACGGGUGCGGAACACGUACGCAACCUACCCAUAACUGGGGGAUAGCCCGGGGAAACCCGGAUUAAUACCUCGUAACCUUAUGAAGUGGCAUCGCUUAAUAAGUAUAGCUCCGGCGGUUAUGGAUGGGCAUGCGCCUGUUUAGAUAAUUGGCGGGGUAACGGCCAACCAAGCCUGCGACCAGUAACUGGUGUGAGAGCACGACUCGUCCCACGGGCAAUGCGGAUGGGGACAGACUCCUACGGGAGGCAGCAGUAAGGAAUAUUUGUGAAUGAAAGCAAGUCUGAACCAGCCAUGCCGCGUGAAGGAUGAAGGUCCUCUGGAUUGUAAACUCAUAUUAUAGGGGAAGAAAUAUGAAUACUCCUAAUCAGUUGACGGUCCCCUAGUAAUAAGCACCGGCUAACUCCGUGCCAGCCGCCGCAGUAAGAC
rnacentral:rRNA from 1 species